rnacentral:rRNA from 1 species
CAGCAGCCACGGUAAUGCGGAGGGGGCUAGCGUUGUUCGGAAUUACUGGGCGUAAAGCGCACGUAGGCGGCUUGGUAAGUUAGAGGUGAAAGCCUGGAGCUCAACUCCAGAAUUGCCUUUAAGACUGCCGAGCUAGCAGGUGAGAGAGGUAAGUGGAAUUCCGAGUGUAGAGGUGAAAUUCGUAGAUAUUCGGAAGAACACCAGUGGCGAAGGCGGCUUACUGGCUCAUACUGGACGCUGAGGUGCGAAAGCGUGGGGAGCAAACAGGAUUAGAUACCCCGGUAGUCCCUGUCUCUUAUAA